rnacentral:rRNA from 1 species
CACGUAGGGUGCGAGCGUUGUCCGGAAUUAUUGGGCGUAAAGAGCUCGUAGGCGGUGUGUCGCGUCGGCCGUGAAAACCUGCAGCUUAACUGUGGGCUUGCGGUCGAUACGGGCAUCACUGGAGUUCGGCAGGGGAGACUGGAAUUCCUGGUGUAGCGGUGAAAUGCGCAGAUAUCGGGAGGAACACCUGUGGCGAAGGCGGCCCCCUGGUCGGAUACUGACGCUGAGACGCGAAAGCGUGGGGAGCAAACAGG